rnacentral:tRNA from 1 species
GCCCUUGUAGUUAAAUUAAUAAGAUAACGCUUUUUUUGUAAAAAAGAGUUGAUAUACAUUCUCAAUCCACGGGCU